UACGGAGGGGGCUAGCGUUGUUCGGAAUUACUGGGCGUAAAGCGCGCGUAGGCGGACCUGCAAGUCGGGGGUGAAAGCCCGAGGCUCAACCUCGGAACUGCGUCGGAUACUGGAUGGCUUGAAUUCGGGAGAGGGAUGCAGAAUUCCAGGUGUAGCGGUGAAAUGCGUAGAUAUCUGGAGGAAUACCGGUGGCGAAGGCGGCAUCCUGGACCGACAUUGACGCUGAUGAGCGAAAGCUAGGGGAGCAAACGGG
rnacentral:rRNA from 1 species